GAGGAAGGAAUAUAAUGGAGGGAGUGCGCCGUAUCUCGGCAAUGUAAAUUCUUGGCACCAGUGCAAGCACCUUUUAUUACUCUUUUCAAUUAGCGCGCCCUUCACCGCGCAUGCUUACUUUAAUAAUUUCAUCAGCCAGCACUGACCAGUGUCGUACGAUUCUGUUUUUGUCAUUUUCGCUUUUAACCUCGUGUUUAGUGUGAACGUUUUGUUUUGAAUUUGCGAUAAGCGUUUCAUGUUUAUUUAAAAACUUAAAAUGGUUAGUUGCAAAUUGUGUAAAGUUACGAGUGGCUCCAGGUCAACAAUUGGUAGAGAAAAAAUAACGUUUCACAGGUGUCCCCAGAAACCUGAAUUAAAGAAACUGUGGACAGACUUCCUUUAUCUUCACCUAGGAAAUUCUGUGUCUGUGAACAACUUUUUCCUGUAUUCAUUUCAUUUUGAAGAAAAGUGUUUUGAUAGAACAUCAGCCCAGAAAGUAGUUUUAAGACCACAUUCAGUACCAACUAUUUCUUAUACUUAUGAAGAAAGGAUUACCAAUGUAGUGACCUUUAGAGGCAAUGAAACGCAUCACACAGAAGUUUGUGACGCACCUUCGGUAGAGCCUCAACAGAAUAUAGAAGAUGAAUUGUCUAAUAAAGUUUUUGAAAUUACAAAGAAACUUGAAAAUUUAACAACAAAAACAUGUGCAAACGUUUUACUGAAACAACAAAUUAACAACCUGAAGACAUUAGUGUCACAACAACAAUGCACUAUUAAAACGUUAAAACGCAGAACCUCAAAACAGCAACGCAAAAUUUGUAAUCUGAAAGAUGUUGUUUCAAGUUUAAGGAAGAAAAUCAACUAUUAUGAAAACAACAGUGUGGAUGUUAAUAAAUUUCAGGAAAAUACAGAACUGUUGAGCAGAAUGUGGGCUAAAAUUAACAACAAACCAUUGCCAAAUCAAUAUGGGCCAGAAAUAAGAAAAUUUGCCGUUACAACACAUUUCUACUCCCCAAAGGCUUUUUCUUUUAUAAGAAAACAAUUCAUGGACUGUCUUCCACACCCAAAAACUUUGUCUGUAUGGUAUU